rnacentral:lncRNA from 1 species
GUUUUCUCCAUCACAACCAAAAAGUGAAGAAGCCAGGUUUCACCCUGCUACUGAUUUUUAUGUUAUUUCUGCCAUCAAACAAGACUUUGUAUGCUCCAAAGCCUCCUUUCCUUUCCUCUUACACCUACUGUAUUAAAUUGGUCUAAAACCCAAGAUUGCCUCACAGAUGUCUAUAGAUCAUGAUGGUCUCACUGUUGUUCCUGAUGCUAACCUGGUCAUCCCUACUACUAUCUUGUGGACAUCCAAUGGUAACAACUAUUACACAAUAUCCAGACAAUCUGGCUUUAGAUAUCUUCAUUUGUCAAGCAGAUGUAUAACCCAAAUGUACUUUUUUGGCUUGUUGCCAUAGAUCUUCACUUCCCCAAGUCUGUGCUCUAUUUCCCAUCCUUCAUUGCCUCCUAUAGCACCUUUGAGCUCCAGGAUCUCUUGGCUUACUGACAUCUUACCACCUGAUCACUGUGCUGUGCUUAAGACAGGCUCUCAUACAGAGAUGAGCAUUUUCAUUUUUCCAUUGCCAAAAUUAACUUUGCACCCAAUACGUUAGUAGAAAUGGAAGUACUGGGCCAAACUACCUCUAAGCACUCCUCACCCUCUCCUAUGGAUCCACUGCCUUCCCUGAACUCCAGCUGUCCUUAAAGUCUCCAAUAGGUCCUUGCUGAUGGGAGUAACGACAGCUGUAAGCUGUUGCUAUCCCUCCCAUGCCCUAACAAUCAGCAUCCAGUUCAUGGCCAAAAUAGAUGAUGGAGCUAAUGAGGACAUCUGCAUUCAUUUGGUGGUGACUGUCAGCUGUCACAGACAAGCCAAUCACAAACUGAACACUAUGAAGUGGAUUAGCUACACUGAGAAGCAAAGACAUUGUCUAUGGAUGAAAACAAUGAAUUCUUUGUUGAAGUUGCUCAAUGUACAUUCCUCUUUAUCUCCACAAGUCCCAGAGGAACAGCAGUGGAUUCCCUGCCUUACUUCAUCUCCUAGUCUGGUCCACUGUGUCUACCUUAUGCAUAAGAAGCAGCUCUGUUUCAUCACUACCAUCCUUUUCUGUUGAAAUUCUACAUCAUUAGGAGUGGUUAGCCAUUGAGUAGUAUCUACUUGCUGCAAAGCGCUUUGAUAUACUCUGCUGAAAUGGAGGAUGUAGAAAAAUCCUGCUGUCAGAAUGGAGUGAAGACUAAAAAACAUAAGGAGUGAUUCAAAUUUGGAAAAGAUUUCACUGAAGCUGGAUUUCUGCUGUUGUUACUCACUGCAGUAGUGUUUGAAAGUCUGACAAGUUGGAAAUCUGUUGUGCUGCUGAAGCUGUAUUGAUGCUGGACAGAAAG